CACAGCACAUACAGACCCCACUACAUUAAUUUCCAAUCUAAACGCAACUCUCCUUGUUACUUCACCCUUAGCUCCUAUAAAUUACUCAAACCAUAUACUCCACCCUUCUUACUCCAAAUAUAUCAACAAAGCCUCAAAUUAAUUAAAUCAGAUAAUAUAAUGUCAUGUAUGGAGCAGAAGAGGUCCUCUUGUAAUUUCUUCACCUCCUGUUUCUUUCUAUUUCUCAUCCUCACUCUCCCUUAUUCCUCAACUGCAGUAUCAGGGGGAUGGCGAUCAGAAGUAGCAUUGGACUCCUCAAAAGAGAUGUAUGAGAUUGAUUAUAGAGGUCCUGAAACGCACUCGUCUGUUCCUACCCCACCACAUCAUUCUCAUGCUAACCCUCCUCAUUCAUCACCUCAUCCUCAACGACCUUCAAAUCAUGUUAAUCAUGGAA